CCUACGGGUGGCUGCAGUGGGGAAUAUUGGACAAUGGGGGCAACCCUGAUCCAGCCAUGCCGCGUGUGUGAAGAAGGCCCUCGGGUUGGAAAGCACUUUCAGUGAGGAAGAACGCCUGGUGGUUAAUACCCAUCAGGAAAGACAUCACUCACAGAAGAAGCACCGGCUAACUCCGUGCCAGCAGCCGCGGUAAUACGGAGGGUGCGAGCGUUAAUCGGAAUUACUGGGCGUAAAGCGCGCGUAGGUGGCUUGAUAAGCCGGUUGUGAAAGCCCCGGGCUCAACCUGGGAACGGCAUCCGGAACUGUCAAGCUAGAGUGCAGGAGAGGAAGGUAGAAUUCCCGGUGUAGCGGUGACAUGCGUAGAGAUCGGGAGGAAUACCAGUGGCGAAGGCGGCCUUCUGGACUGACACUGACACUGAGGUGCGAAAGCGUGGGUAGCAAACAGGAUUAGAUACCCUUGUAGUC
rnacentral:rRNA from 1 species